rnacentral:lncRNA from 1 species
UAUGAAUAAUAUUUUAAUUGAUUUAAUAAAUUUAUUAAAUACAUAUUUUUCUUAUCAUGAGGAAACAAAAUGUGUUAUGUUUAAAGAUACGAGAGAAGAUAUUUUUGAGAAAAUGAUUCAACUUUUUGUUGAUUUAAAAUAUAUUUUAUAUCAUAAAGAAGUAAUAAAAAUGUUACUUUUUAAUAAAUAUAUAAUAAAAAAAUUUUUAUAUAUAUUAAAAUUUUUACAUAGAAUGAAUGCACAAGAACGUCAUGUAUUCAAACAUAUACAUUAUGAAGAUUCAGUUGGUGUUUAUACUACAAUUAUUGAAAAUAGUUUAUUAAACUCUUUACAUCCAUUAUCUGUUUUUUGUAAAAGAGAAAAAAAUGCAAAUUUUAGAAACAUGUAUUUAUUAUAUCAACUUACUAUAGAAAGUAUUUGCUCAAUUAAUUUGUUUCCGUUUCAUAGUGACACGGUUGGCGAGGAUAACUCGAGCAAGCGUAACCUUGGUAAGGGGGGAAACGGAAAGUCGGAAAGUACCAAGUUGAAAAGUACCAAAACAGAAAACAACAAAACAGAAAACACCAAAACAGAAAACACCAAAUCUGAAAGCGAUAGCAUGACCGAUGUUUCAAAUGAUAAACAAAAUAUGAACAAUGUUUCAUCUGUGAACGCAUCAAAUAUUUUCACGAAUAACAUUAAUAACAACAGCAGUGGUAUUAGAAACAGUGGGUUAUCAGGUGUACCUGCAACUACAACUACAAAACAAACAAAAACAAAUCGACCAACUAGAAAAAAACCAAUAAAACACUUGCGUUCAUUUCAUUCACCAUUAGUACGUUUUUUUAUCAUGAUUUUAAAUUUUGAUGUUAUAAAAAAAUGUAUAGACGAUUUAUAUUGGUAUAAAUAUAUUUAUAAAAAGAAAAAACGACAAAAGUUGGAUAGUGAUAUUGUGGGUGGUGGUAAUGUUAGUGAUAUGGACGAAAGGUUAAACAAAGAAACUAACAUAAAUACAAAUUAUAAUGGCAUAAGCAAUACAACAAAUAUGGAAACAAAUUAUUUCAGUUGCAACGGUAACAACGAUAACAGCGAUAGUAAAUACAAAUGUACGUUAAGUGAAAAACAUUUGAUCAUAACCGAAUUUAUAAAAGAUUUUUAUUCAUUGGAACAUAUUCCAUUAGAUGUGUUGAACAAACGUAAAAAAUUACAAGAGCUGUACGAAUCAGGUGGUAAUAAUAUACGUAUGAAAUUAUUUUAUUAUAAACCAUUUUUAAAAAGUUAUGAUAAUAAUAAGUAUAGUCAUAUUAAUGAAUAUCUAACAGAAAUAAAAUAUUUGGAAAAUAAAUAUUUGUGGUAUAUUAACGAAUCCGAUAAUUUUGUAAGACGAUGUAUAAAAGUUUCUCAUGAUCGUGCAACAAAUACAGAUGUUUCUGUUAAGAUGGAUGUGAAUGAAGGUGAAAUUACGAAUACACAAUAUAAUAAUGAUGUAUAUCUACAUACAGGUGUAAAUAAUACAGCACCAAGUGAUACUAAUAAUAGCAAUAAUGACGCAAAUUCAAUAAAAUUCCGAACAACUAUACAAGAUAAAAAAAUUAAAACAAAAUGUAAAAAUACAUUUAUCGAAACUAAGAUAAAUAACAAAACACUUGAAU